rnacentral:rRNA from 1 species
UCCCUAUGGGGUGCAGCAGGCGCGAAACCUCUGCAAUAGGCGAAAGCCUGACAGGGUUACUCUGAGUGAUCUCCGUUAAGGAGAUCUUUUGGCACCUCUAAAAAUGGUGCAGAAUAAGGGGUGGGCAAGUCUGGUGUCAGCCGCCGCGGUAAUACCAGCACCCCGAGUGGUCGGGACGUUUAUUGGGCCUAAAGCAUCCGUAGCCGGUUCUACAAGUCUUCCGUUAAAUCCAGCUGCUUAACAGAUGGGCUGCGGAAGAUACUAUGGAGCUAGGAGGCGGGAGAGGCAAGCGGUACUCGAUGGGUAGGGGUAAAAUCCGUUGAUCCAUUGAAGACCACCAGUGGCGAAGGCGGCUUGCCAGAACGCGCUCGACGGUGAGGGAUGAAAGCUGGGGGAGCAAACCGGAUUAGAUACCCGGGUAGUCCCAGCUGUAAACGAUGCAGACUCGGUGAUGAGUUGGCUACAUGCCAUCUCAGUGCCGCAGGGAAGCCGUUAAGUUUGCCGCCUGGGGAGUACGGUCGCAAGACUGAAACUUAAAGGAAUUGGCGGGGGAGCACCACAAGGGGUGAAGCCUGCGGUUCAAUUGGAUUCAACGCCGGAA